GCAGUCGAGCGGAACGAUGGGAGCUUGCUCCCGGCGUCUAGCGGCGGACGGGUGAGUAACACUUAGGAAUCUACCUAGUAGUGGGGGAUAGCUCGGGGAAACUCGAAUUAAUACCGCAUACGUCCUACGGGAGAAAGGGGGCAACUUGUUGCUCUCGCUAUUAGAUGAGCCUAAGUCGGAUUACCUAGUUGGUGGGGUAAAGGCCUACCAAGGCGACGAUCUGUAGCUGGUCUGAGAGGAUGAUCAGCCACACCGGGACUGAGACACGGCCCGGACUCCUACGGGAGGCAGCAGUGGGGAAUAUUGGACAAUGGGGGCAACCCUGAUCCAGCCAUGCCGCGUGUGUGAAGAAGGCCUUUUGGUUGUAAAGCACUUUAAGCAGUGAAGAAGACCUAACGGUUAAUACCCGUUAGCGAUGACAUUAGCUGCAGAAUAAGCACCGGCUAACUCUGUGCCAGCAGCCGCGGUAAUACAGAGGGUGCAAGCGUUAAUCGGAAUUACUGGGCGUAAAGCGAGCGUAGGUGGCUUGAUAAGUCAGAUGUGAAAUCCCCGGGCUUAACCUGGGAACUGCAUCUGAUACUGUCAGGCUAGAAUAGGUGAGAGGAAGGUAGAAUUCCAGGUGUAGCGGUGAAAUGCGUAGAGAUCUGGAGGAAUACCGAUGGCGAAGGCAGCCUUCUGGCAUCAUAUUGACACUGAGGUUCGAAAGCGUGGGUAGCAAACAGGAUUAGAUACCCUGGUAGUCCACGCCGUAAACGAUGUCUACUAGUCGAUGGGUCCCUUGAGGACUUAGUGACGCAGCUAACGCAAUAAGUAGACCGCCUGGGGAG
rnacentral:rRNA from 1 species